rnacentral:rRNA from 1 species
GAUGAACGCUGGCGGCGUGCCUAAUACAUGCAAGUCGAGCGAAUGGAUUAAGAGCUUGCUCUUAUGAAGUUAGCGGCGGACGGGUGAGUAACACGUGGGUAACCUGCCCAUAAGACUGGUAUAACUACGGGAAACCGGGGCUAAUACCGGAUAACAUUUUGAACCGCAUGGUUCGAAAUUGAAAGGCGGCUUCGGCUGUCACUUAUGGCUGGACCCGCGUCGCAUUAGCUAGUUGGUGAGGUAACGGCUCAUCAAGGGAACGAUGCGUAGCCGACCUGAGAGGGUGAUCGGCCACACUGGGACUGAGACACGGCCCAGACUCCUACGGGAGGCAGCAGUAGGGAAUCUUCCGCAAUGGACGAAAGUCUGACGGAGCAACGCCGCGUGAGUGAUGAAGGCUUUCGGGUCGUAAAACUCUGUUGUUAGGGAAGAACAAGUGCUAGUUGACUAAGCUGGCACCUUGACGGUACCUAACCAGAAAGCCACGGCUAACUACGUGCCAGCAGCCGCCGUAA